rnacentral:tRNA from 1 species
GGUUGUAUAGUGUAGUGGUGAGCACAUCUGAUUUUGAAUCUAUAUGAUCAAUCUUCAGGGAACCCAGGUUCGAGCCCUGGUACGACCU